GACGAACGCUGGCGGCGUGCCUAAUACAUGCAAGUAGAACGCACAGUUUAUACCGUAGCUUGCUACACCAUACACUGUGAGUUGCGAACGGGUGAGUAACGCGUAGGUAACCUGCCUGGUAGCGGGGGAUAACUAUUGGAAACGCUAGCUAAUACCGCAUAAUAUUGAUUAUUGCAUGAUAAUUGAUUGAAAGAUGCUAUUGCAUCACUACCAGCUGGACCUGCGUUGUAUUAGCUAGUAGGUGAGGUAACGGCUCACCUAGGCGACGAUACAUAGCCGACCUGGGAGGGUGAUCGGCCACACUGGGACUGAGACACGGCCCAGACUCCUACGGGAGGCAGCCGUAGGGAAUCUUCGGCAAUGGACGAAAGUCUGACCGAGCAACGCCGCGGGAGGGAAGAAGGUUUUCGGAUCGUAAAGCUCUGUUGUAAGAGAAGAACGGGUGUGAGAGUGGAAAGUUCACACUGUGACGGUAUCUUACCAGAAAGGGACGGCUAACUACGUG
rnacentral:rRNA from 1 species